GCUUGCUUUUCUGAUGACGACCGGCGCACGGGUGCGUAACGCGUAUACAACCUACCUUUUAGCGGGGAAUAGCCCAGGGAAACUUGGAUUAAUGCCCCAUAGUAUAUAGACUUCUCCUGAAGUUUAUAUUAAACAUUUAUGGCUAUUAGAUGGGUAUGCGUCCUAUUAGUUAGUUGGUAAGGUAACGGCUUACCAAGGCAGCGAUAGGUAGGGGUCCUGAGAGGGAGAUCCCCCACACUGGUACUGAGACACGGACCAGACUCCUACGGGAGGCAGCAGUGAGGAAUAUUGGACAAUGGGCGAGAGCCUGAUCCAGCCAUGCCGCGUGCA
rnacentral:rRNA from 1 species